UACGUAGGGGGCGAGCGUUGUCCGGAGUUACUGGGCGUAAAGCGCUUGUAGGCGGUCCACCAAGUUUGGGGUGACAGUUGCCGACUUAAUCGGCAAAGUGCCUCAAAGACUGGCGGACUUGAGGGCCACAGAGGGACAUGGAACUCCAGGUGUAGUGGUGAAAUGCGUAGAUAUCUGGAAGAACACCGGUGGCGAAGGCGGGUCUCUGGGCAGUAACUGACGCUGAGGAGCGAAAGCGUGGGGAGCGAACAGG
rnacentral:rRNA from 1 species